rnacentral:ribozyme from 13 species
UGCAAAAAAAAAAAAAAAAAAAAAAAAAAAAAAAAAAAAAAAAA